rnacentral:pre_miRNA from 1 species
AGAGUACUCCCUCCGUCUGAAAAUACUUGUCAUCAAAAUAGAUGAAAAUGAAUGUAUCUAGAACUAAAAUACAUCUAGAUACAUCUAUUUCAAUGAUAAGUAUUUCCGGACGAAGGGAGUAGAUU